AACGAACGCUGGCGGCAUGCCUAACACAUGCAAGUCGAACGAGGCCUUCGGGUCUAGUGGCGCACGGGUGCGUAACGCGGGGGAACCUGCCCUUAGGUUCGGAAUAACUCCCCGAAAGGGGUGCUAAUACCGGAUAAUGUCUUCGGACCAAAGAUUUAUGGCCUUUGGAUGGGCCCGCGUUGGACUAGGUAGUUGGUAGGGUAAAAGCCUACCAAGGCGACGAUCCAUAGCUGGUCUGAGAGGAAGAUCAGCCACACUGGGACUGAGACACGGCCCAGACUCCUACGGGAGGCAGCAGUGGGGAAUAUUGGACAAUGGGCGAAAGCCUGAUCCAGCAAUGCCGCGUGAGUGAUGAAGGCCUUAGGGUUGUAAAGCUCUUUUACCCGGGAUGAUAAUGACAGUACCGGGAGAAUAAGCUCCGGCUAACUCCGUG
rnacentral:rRNA from 1 species